rnacentral:rRNA from 1 species
AUACGUAGGGAGCGAGCGUUGUCCGGAAUUACUGGGUGUAAAGGGUGCGUAGGCGGGACGGCAAGUCAGAUGUGAAAUACCGGGGCUCAACCCGGGGGCUGCAUUUGAAACUGUCGUUCUUGAGUGCGGUAGAGGUAAGCGGACUUCCUAGUGUAGCGGUGAAAUGCGUAGAUAUUAGGAGGAACAUCGGUGGCGAAGGCGGCUUACUGGGCCUUUACUGACGCUGAGGCACGAAAGCGUGGGGAGCAAACAGGAUUAGAUACCCUGGUAGUCCACGCUGUAAACGAUGAUGACUAGGUUUGGGGGGACUGAACCCUUCCGUGCCGCAGUUAACACAAUAAGUCAUCCACCUGGGGAGUACGGCCGCAAGGUUGAAACUUAAAGGAAUUUACGGGG